rnacentral:rRNA from 1 species
AUUGAACGCUGGCGGCAGGCUUAACACAUGCAAGUCGGGCGGAGAGAGGUAGCUUGCUACUGAUCUUAGCGGCGGACGGGUGAGUAAUGCUUAGGAAUCUGCCUAUUAGUGGGGGACAACAUUUCGAAAGGAAUGCUAAUACCGCAUACGUCCUACGGGAGAAAGCAGGGGAUCUUCGGACCUUGCGCUGAUAGAUGAGCCUAAGUCGGAUUAGCUAGUUGGUGGGGUAAAGGGCUACCAAGGCGACGAUCUGUAGCGGGUCUGAGAGGAUGAGCCGCCACACUGGGACUGAGACACGGCCCAGACUCCUACGGGAGGCAGCAGUGGGGAAUAUUGGACAAAGGGCGGAAGCCUGAUCCAGCCAUGCCGCGUGUGUGAAGAAGGCCUUAUGGUUGUAAAGCACUUUAAGCGAGGAGGAGGCUACUUUAGUUAAUACCUAGAGAUAGUGGACGUUACUCGCAGAAUAAGCACCGGCUAACCCUGUGCCAGCCGCCGCGGUAAAAC